GAGAAACCAGCUCUGCUGACACUUUGAUCUCAAGCUCUGGCCACCAGAACUGUGAGCAAAUAAGUGUCUGUUGUUUAGGGCACCCUGUCCAUGGCACCUUGCUCCGAUAGCCCCAGGAAACGAAUCCACAGCACAGGUUUGUGCUCAGAAGCCCCUACACCAGCUGCUGCGUGAUGGAGAACAGGAGUCAAAGCACGGAGGCCGGCAGAAAAUCAAGAGGCCGGUCCUGUGCAUGGGCAAGAGGCCUCAGGGAUAUAUUAGCUGAGGAGGAAGCCGAGGUUGGGAAAGGUGGAGGGACUUGCCCAAGUCACACAAACGACAACUCAGCAGAGCUGAGAAUUGGCACCCAGGGCAACUGGAGUCCAUCCUGAGCUUGUCACUGCUGGGCUCUGAGACCUCCUGGUGAAGAAGGACAGUGGCAGAGACAGCCCGACCCAGAGAAACCCAGCAACGCUACUUUCUAAGGGCAUUUUUCCCUCUCAUUUGGAAUCCUGAGCCUCCUGCUCGUCCUGUAGGCCACACCCAGCAAACAGAGCUGGCUGGGAACUGGGAGAAGAGCUGGAGCAACAGCCUGCAUCCAUUUCCUCUUGCUGCAAUAACAACUGAUCACAAGAUGGAGUCUCACUCUGUCAACCAGGCUGGAGUGCACUGGCGCAAUCUCGGCUCACUGCAGUCACCUCCUCUCAGGUUCAAGUGAUUCUCCUGCCUCUGCCUCCUGAGUAGCUGGGAUUACAGGUGCAUGCCACCACGCUCUGCUAAUUUUUGUAUUUUUAGUAGAGACGGGGUUUCACCGUGUUGGCCAGGCUGGUCUGGAACUCCUGACCUCAGGUGAUCCGGCUGCCUCAGCCUCCCAAAGUACUGGGAUUACAGGCAUGAGCCACCACACCUUGCCACAAAUGUGGUUUUUAAAUGUGGUUUUUAAAAAUAUCUUGAUAGCCAUAUUUCCAGUGACUCGGUUUCCUGUGUAAUCCUACGUAUUUGUUAUGCAUGUACAAAGAAGACAGGGCAUGAAGGUGUCACCAGAUGCCACAGCAGCCCACAGCACAGAAAAGGUCACAACCACCUACUUCAGAGAAAGGCACUGGGGACCUUGGCUAUGUGGACAAGAACCAGGAGCUUGGGCUUCCCAGGCACAGCAGGGAAGCCUGCAGGGGCCUGACAGGUGGAUAACCUAGUGCCCAAGGCAGGGCUGGGUGGAGGAGAGAGUGGCACCCUCUGAUUGUCUGAGGUCUCUAUCUCUAGAGGACAGUACCACAGAUUGGAAGCCAGGUCUUUCCAGAGUCCCUGUGACCUCCUCUUUCUGCAUGAAACCCAGAUUGAGUAGGAAAAUGUCCCCAGGAGGAAGCAGCCACUGCCCAAGGGAGACAGCUAGAGACUCGCUGGGCAGGCUACAUCCCUGGGCUUCUCUCGGACCCGACAAGAGCCUGUCCAUCCCUUCACCUCCACUAAGAUCAGGGCACCCCAGGAGUCUCGGCAGGGCCACCCCAGGCUCUGCUCUGCCCUGGAAAGGUCCUCGUUUCACACUGACUCAGUUUCAGUUUUGGAAGGAGGUCAGAGGUUGCCUCCAUGUCCCUUCUCCCCACUGGUUCUCUGGAACCCUCCAUCAUAGAUGUCCCUGCCCUUCCUUCCCUGCUCAGGAGCAAAACCCCCAACCCCCAGGAGCUGGUCUCUCUAAGUCCUCUUGGAUCAGGCCAGGCUCAGCCCUGGAGGCCACAGCUCAGGCCCUGAGCCAGCCCAAGGGGCAGGGCGAGGAACCUACAUUGUUGUGUGCCCAGCCCCUUUAAGGGGCCCAUACGGACAAGAGCAAAUUCAGUAGGUUGCGUCAUCCACUCUAUAGUGAUUAAACAGGGAUGGUGGAGAAGUAGAGAAGUGUCAGCUCUGGAACCAGGUGGCCCUAGAUUGAAAUCCUAGCUCUGCUAUUUACCAGCCAGGUGGCCUUGGAUAGGUGAUUUGACCAAUACCGUUCCUCCGUUUCCCCACCUUGAGUGUUAUUGCAAGGAUUAAAUGAGUUACUACAAAGUAAAGUACUAAAUACAUAUCAGCUAUUAUUAUUAUUACUACUACUAUUAUUAUUAUGAGCCAGGAGAUGGGGACUGUGACAUAGGCUGCUGGUCUCUUCUCUCCUCUUCCAUAAGAAUAGUUCACCCCAUCCUUAGCUGGGUGUAUGGCCACCUGGCCCAAAACUACAUUUCCCAGCAUCCCUUGCUGCUAGAUGUGACCAUGUGAUCAAGUUCUGGCCAAUGAGAUGCCAGGAGAAGUGGUUUGGCCCACUUCCUGGGAGUUUUCUUUAAAGGACAGGGGCAAUGCCUUCUCCUUUUCUUCUCCUUUCUGCUGACCAGAAUGUGAGCAUGGAGUCUGGAGCAGGAGCAGCUGUUGUGCACUGUGAGGUUGAAGCCGUGUGUUGAGAAUAGCAGAGCAACAAAGCAAUAGGAGCUGGAGCCCCUAGGGGCCAUGAAGCCCCUACCAGCCCUGGACUGCUUAGAUUUACUUGAGCAAGAAAUAA
ensembl:lncRNA novel transcript